GGUGACUUGGCGUAGUGGUUCCACGCCUGGUUCGCCUCUGCCGCGGUGGCUAUCCACCGGCAGGGAGGGGGUUCGAAUCCCUCAGUCACUA